rnacentral:rRNA from 2 species
CAAAGUGACAGGUGGUGCAUGGUUGUCGUCAGCUCGUGUCGUGAGAUGUUGGGUUAAGUCCCGCAACGAGCGCAACCCUUAAGCUUAGUUGCCAUCAUUAAGUUGGGCACUCUAAGUUGACUGCCGGUGACAAACCGGAGGAAGGUGGGGAUGACGUCAAAUCAUCAUGCCCCUUAUGAUUUGGGCUACACACGUGCUACAAUGGACAAUACAAAGGGCAGCGAAACCGCGAGGUCAAGCAAAUCCCAUAAAGUUGUUCUCAGUUCGGAUUGUAGUCUGCAACUCGACUACAUGAAGCUGGAAUCGCUAGUAAUCGUAGAUCAGCAUGCUACGGUGAAUACGUUCCCGGGUCUUGUACACACCGCCCGUCACACCACGAGAGUUUGUAACACCCGAAGCCGGUGGAGUAACCUUUUAGGAGCUAGCCGUCGAAGGUGGGACAAAUGAUUGGGGUGAAGUCGUAACAAGGUAGCCGUAUCGGAAGGUGCGGCUGGAUCACCUCCUUUCUAAGGA